rnacentral:rRNA from 1 species
UACAGAGGGUGCGAGCGUUGUCCGGAAUCAUUGGGCGUAAAGCGCGUGUAGGCGGUCCGGUAAGUCCGCUGUGAAAGUCGGGGGCUCAACCCUCGAAUGCCGGUGGAUACUGUCGGGCUAGAGUGCGGAAGAGGCGAGUGGAAUUCCUGGUGUAGCGGUGAAAUGCGCAGAUAUCAGGAGGAACACCUAUUGCGAAGGCAGCUCGCUGGGACGUAACUGACGCUGAGACGCGAAAGCGUGGGGAGCAAACAGG